AGCGAACGCUGGCGGCAGGCUUAACACAUGCAAGUCGAGCGGGCAUCCUUGUGGUGUCAGCGGCAGACGGGUGAGUAACGCGUGGGAACGUGCCCUUCGGUUCGGAAUAACUCAGGGAAACUUGAGCUAAUACCGGAUACGUGCGAGAGCAGAAAGGUUUAUCUGCCGAAGGAUCGGCCCGCGUCUGAUUAGCUAGUUGGUGAGGUUAUGGCUCACCAAGGCGACGAUCAGUAGCUGGUCUGAGAGGAUGAUCAGCCACACUGGGACUGAGACACGGCCCAGACUCCUACGGGAGGCAGCAGUGGGGAAUAGUGGACAAUGGGGGCAACCCUGAGCCAGCCAUGCCGCGUGAGUGAUGACGGCCUUAGGGUUGUAAAGCUCUUUUCUCCGGGACGAUAAUGACGGUACCGGAGGAAUAAGCCCCGGCUAACUUCGUG
rnacentral:rRNA from 1 species